CUUCCUACGGGAGGCAGCAGUAGGGAAUCUUCCACAAUGGACGAAAGUCUGAUGGAGCAACGCCGCGUGAGUGAAGAAGGGUUUCGGCUCGUAAAGCUCUGUUGGUAGUGAAGAAAGAUAGAGGUAGUAACUGGCCUUUAUUUGACGGUAAUUACUUAGAAAGUCACGGCUAAUUACGUGCCAGCAGCCGCGGUAAUACGUAGGUGGCAAGCGUUGUCCGGAUUUAUUGGGCGUAAAGCGAGUGCAGGCGGGUCCAUAGGUCUGAUGUGAAAACCUUCCG
rnacentral:rRNA from 1 species